rnacentral:rRNA from 1 species
CCUACGGGGGGCUGCAGUGAGGAAUAUUGGUCAAUGGGCGCUAGCCUGAACCAGCCAAGUAGCGUGAAGGAUGACUGCCCUAUGGGUUGUAAACUUCUUUUAUAUGGGACUAAAGUGCAGUAUGUAUACUGCUUUGCAUGUACCUUAUGAAUAAGGAUCGGCUAACUCCGUGCCAGCAGCCGCGGUAAUACGGAGGAUCCGAGCGUUAUCCGGAUUUGUUGGGUUUAAAGGGAGCGUAGGCGGGUUGUUAAGUCAGUUGUGAAAUUUUGCGGCUCAACCGUAAAAUUGCAGUUGAUACUGGCAUCCUGGAGUACAGUAGAGGUAGGCGGAAUUCGUGGUGUAGCAGUGAAAUGCUUAGAUAUCACGAAGAACUCCGAUUGCGAAGGCGGCCUGCUGGACUGUAACUGACGCUGAUGCUCGAAAGUGUGGGUAUCAAACAGGAUUAGAUACCCCGGUAGUC